UACGUAGGGUGCGAGCGUUGUCCGGAAUUAUUGGGCGUAAAGAGCUCGUAGGCGGUCUGUCGCGUCGAAUGUGAAAACCCGGGGCUCAACUCCGGGCUUGCAUUCGAUACGGGCAGGCUAGAGUUCGGUAGGGGAGUCUGGAAUUCCUGGUGUAGCGGUGAAAUGCGCAGAUAUCAGGAGGAACACCGGUGGCGAAGGCGGGACUCUGGGCCGAUACUGACGCUGAGGUGCGAAAGCGUGGGGAGCAAACAGG
rnacentral:rRNA from 1 species